rnacentral:misc_RNA from 1 species
AUGCUGCAGUGACUAGACAGAAAGAUGCUGCUGCUCAACCUUUUGAACGUAAAGACUGUGCUGGUGGCCCUUACCGUGGGGCUGCUUGUCUACUUAAUCAGGAGGAGAUUCAUCUACCGGUUACCCCCGGGACCUUGGGCCAUCCCUCUGAUUGGAAACUUUGAAGUAUACACUAAACCUUUAGUGCACAGAGUUAUUCUACAACUGUCGAAGAAGUAUGGUCCAGUCAUUCAAUUUUAUUUCGGACCUAUCCCAACUGUCUUUCUAAACAACUAUGAGGUUGUGAUAGAAGCCUUGGUGAAGAGAAAGGCAGAUUUUGCUGGACGCCCCACUUCAGUGACAUGUGAGCGUGGUUUCGACUUCUUUCAGGCAACAAAUAAUACGUCUUGAAAUGUUAUCAGAGUAAUUUACCAAAGAAAAGAGGAAUUAAAAAAUGAGAGUUUUAAAGAAAGAUAUAUACAUUUAAAUCAUUUAGUGGUUCAUGCAUACAGAGAAUAAGCAAUGCAAAAUUAUUAACCGUCAGUGUUAUCCUUUCUGCAGAAAAAAUACAAAUACGUAAAAACCCUGCUUAUAUUUUUUCUUCAAUCAUGCUACGUUCACACCCGCAGAAACCAUCAACAGGACAUUCUAGUCGAAGUGCUAAUUAGUUCUAGAUUUGUUUUGUUAAGUCUCUUUGAUCAGCGAGGGAUUCAAGGACAUAGCUCUGGCGUCCUACUCUCCUAUGUGGCAGUAUCACCGACGUGUAGCCAUCAAAGCUUUAAGGUACAUUUACACAGAUUUGUUGCAGCGCACUCUGAAUGUUUUUUUCUUUCAAAGUUCAUUAAAUUUUAACCACAUCAACCCACUUUGAAAAGCGUGACGAUUGGUACGAAGUCAACGCAGUUUGGAAAAAAAAAAUCAAAUUGCGCCAUUAAGGAACAUCAAAAUGUUUUACUAUGAUACAUACAGUUAACGCACUUUGAAAAAAAAAUAUGUUUAAAUCUAAAUCAAACAUUUUGGGAUUUAAAUUUAAAUUAUAUGAUAGAUAAAUGAUUUGUAUGAUUUGUAAACACUAAUGAAUAUGACUAACUGUCUUUGACAACGAGGAAGGGACAUCCAAAGAUGCACUUAUACAUGAUUCAAUUAUUUAAAGGUAAAAAGUCUCCAACCCUCAUAUUCCCUCUCAAGCAUAAAACCAUAGGGCCCCGCUCUGCGGGUGACAUAUAUUUAAAAGUCAGUCCUUCUGGCUGUGUAAAAAAAGUUUUGAAAACAAAUAUCACCUAUAAAUCUUUAUUCUUUUUUUUUAAUAUAAAAAUGGUUAAAAUAUUUUCCCAACCCAUUCGCUUAACACCUCCCCCUCUCCCCGCAAACGAGAAAAGAAUGCCAUAUUGAAUAAAUGCAUGUAAGAAUACGCCUACUUUUUUAUGUUAUUAUGUAAUUAUGUUAAUUAAUGUCAAAUUACCACUAGGUUUGAAUUCCAGAAAUUAUCUACAAGGAGACUUGCUUGAGAAACUUACACAAGAUAAUAUGACAAAAGUGAUGAACAUGAUGGCGGCAGAAAAGGGUCCAAUUGUAGUAAAAUCUCACAUGGACAAUAUAGUCUUCUACCAGCUUUUUACACUCUGUUUUGGAGAAAAAAAGGAGAUCGGCGACCCGGAUGUAGAGUUCCUGCUCCGAGAAAAAGACAACGUGAACAAAGCUAUAGGAAACGGUCUCCGAGAGGAUUUGCUACCCUUCCUAAAGGACGUGUACCCGUCCAGGCGUUACGUCAUCAUCAAGGACGCGGUGGAUAGGGCGUUUUCAUUUAUGUAUAAACUCCUACACGAACACCAAGAAACGUUUGACCCAAAUAACAUCCGAGAUCUUACCGAUCAUCUUCUACUAGCAAGAUCCGAGGCGGAAAAAUCUGGAGACGACGAAUCAAUGGAGAAAUUAAAUGAUACUUAUCUUGUACAAACCAUUUCGGAUAUCUUUUUCGCUGGUGUAGAUACUACACGAAUGACCCUAGAAUGGUUCUUGUGCUUCAUAUCUGGUCUUCCGGAAAUACAGGCAAAAUGUCAGGCGGAGAUCGACGAAACAAUUGGUAGACGUUGUCCAUCCAUCGCCGACAGGCAGUCGCUGCCUUACACCGAGGCCUGUCUCUACGAGACAAUGAGGUUGGGAGUAAUAGCAGGCCUGGGUUUGCCACAUCUUACCAUCUGCGAUACACACGUUGGUGGGUACGACAUUCCAAAAGACACGGUUGUCCUAAUCAACCAUUUUGCACUCCAUCGUGACCCUAAAUAUUGGAGAGAUCCCGAGAAAUUUGAUCCGCUCCGUUACUUGGAUGAAAAUGGUAAAAUGGAUCCUACAAAACUGGACAGUUGGCUACCAUUUUCUGCUGGGAGGAGGGUAUGUCUUGGAGAAUCUAUUGCAAAACCGGAAAUUUUAAUGAUGUGCGUCCAUCUUCUUCAACGGUUUAAAAUAUCACUUCCGGAAGGCGUCAAACCGAACUUUGUAGGUGUGCAUCGUAAUGUUUUUGGAAGCGAAUGCCCCGCUGACUUACAAAUUGUCGUAAAGGAAAGAUCAAAUUAAAAGAUCAAUAACACACCUUUUUUAUGAUAAAUUGAGGUGCCUUCCUAUUUAUCAAAUUGCACUGUGGACUUUAGAACCAGCUGUUUCGUUUAUUAAGUGAUUUUCUUUUAAAUACCUCAUGUAGGUUUUGUAGAGGAGAAAGGUGAUAUUUAUGAUAUAUUAUUAAUAAAUGAUAUGAAAUAAACAUUGCAGACGUC